rfam:Brachypodium distachyon strain Bd21 chromosome 1, whole genome shotgun sequence.
UAAGUACUACCUCCGUUCCAUAAUUCUUGUCUCAAAUUUUCCUAAAAAUGGAUGUAUCUAUUCCUAAAAAAGCGUCUAGAUACAUGUAGUAUUUCGACAAGAAUUAUGAAACGGAGGGAGUAGUUU